UAGCUCCUUUGAAAUCCCCAGCUAAAAUUUACUACGAGGAGGAAACAGGAGGGAGAGCCGGAGAGGAGGGGGUGAGAGAGAGAGGGAGAGGAGGGGGUGAGGGAAAAGAAUUCUUUCCUUCCCCGUUCUUCCAUCCGAUCGAUUUUUUUGAGUUUCUUCGUCACGGUCGUCGUCGAGAGAGGGUCAUGAUCUUGGUUCAGAGUUAGCAAGGAAUUCAAAGGUUUUGAAUUUUAUCACUUCGAAUCUCAUUUGCGAAUUGCCCCCACGAGGAUUUAGAAAUCUGGGUUUUGACAUCAUUAUGCUCAUGAGGUUCAAGAAAGGGAGUAAGGUGGAGGUAUUGAAAAAGAGGGAGGUGGCCUCAGGCUCCUGGUGGUGUGCCGAGAUCAUCUCGGGGAAUGGGCAUACCUACAGUGUCAGGUACGAUCGAUAUUUGCCGGAUAUGGAUGGGGCUGUCGAAAAAGUAUCAAGAAAGGUUAUCAGGCCAUGUCCUCCUCCUGUUAAGGCGCCGAGGAGCUGGGUUGCUGGUGACAUUGUUGAGGUAUUUGACAAUAACUCGUGGAAGCUUGCAGAAGUGUCAAAGGUUGUUGCUAGGAAUUUCUAUUUUGUCAGACACCUUGGAUCCUUCAGGGAAUUCAGAGUCUAUAUAUCAGAUCUCAGGGUACGACUAUCUUGGCAAGACAACAAAUGGGUUGUGAUUCAGAAGGACUCUGGAAGAUGUAAUGAUGGGCUUACAAACAGCCAGACAAAAACUGUAAAGUUCAGUCCCCAGUUACCCCAGUCAUGCAUAGAGUUGGAGAAAUACAGGGUAGAUGAGCAAAUUCAUGUCAAAAAUAAUAAUGGAUAUGCAGAGCCUACUUCAAGAAGCAUGAAGAAAAGAUCACUCCCGGUUGAUACAUGCACUGGAACCCGCAGAAAGAUGAGAGCAGUCCAGAAAGAAGGAAGGCAUCAGCAAAUUAUUGCAAGGCAUUCAUCCCAAUUACUAGAAAAGGGCCAAAGUUGGAUGCUUGUAUAGCUUGCCACAGGGCCAAGAUUGUGAUGGGGUUUGUCACCUAUUUUACAGUUUGGAUGUUAUGGCAACAAUUUCAGCUGAUUUUGACACGUUAAGUCAGCAUAUGAUGUAAAGUUGGUAUCUUCUAUAUCUUUUGUCACUUCCAUUUCAGGCUAGCUGCGUGCCUGGGAUAUAUGAUCUACAGAGGAAAGUUAAACCAAGAUCCAUAAAUGAACCCCAUGAUAUAUAGAUCGUCAGUAUUUUUAUUUGCAAAACCUUCUUCCAAGUUCCAAGCUACCUUAUAUCUUUAAAUUUCAUAACUUGCUUGCAUUGUGUGCAUGUUACAAGCUUCUAUAAACUAAGGCAAUGGCCAACUGGCUUGUUAGGCUUAAAUUUGAUCAUGGAUUGCAGACAAUCCUAACAAUUGUGGUCUUAAAUCCAGACAAUCCUAAGAUAAGUUUAGAAGCAAUGGUUGCAGGUGCUGAACCCAUCGAAACAUAACUCCGCGAAUGAGAGCAUAUGUAUAGAAUUGCAUCCAAAUUUAUAUGAUAUCACAAGAAGCAUUUUGUUUUACUUAUUUCUUGAAUUAUUGAAUAUUGGCACAAAGUCUUAGUUUAAUCAGAAGAGACGACUAGACGCAAUGAAAAUCAUUCCAUUCUUAUGUUUGGAAGGUUCAGCAUUAAAACACAGACACAAUAUUGCCUGCCCCUUCAGUGCUUCAGAACCAAGAUUCUAUCUCCACUCCCCUUUUCCCUUUUUUUGCUCCACUGGUGGUUUGGAAUUUUUCUUGUUGGAUGGGGUUGUGGGUUGCUACCAUGUACCAAUCAGUUGGGAUUAUGUGGAAUUGUGGAUAUUCAAAUUUUAUUCCGAUCACCAUCAGUAGACUUUUUGUAUGAUAUAACUUUCAGAAAGCAACAAAAUCUCCUAGGCCAAAGGGGACUAUCGUACACGCUUUGACAAGAUGGACAAUUGAAUGCAGGCGUUUAUCUUUCAGUUCUCUUGCGAUUGGGUUGUGAGAGGGCACACAUGCGUGCAUAUACCAGUGCUUGUCUGUCUGAGUAUGUUCUCUAGAGAAAGGGUUGCAGCUCAUUGUGAUGUAUAAUAUGUUCUUUUUCGGAUAGAACUUAGCAGGUUUAAAGAUGUAUGUGGUUAACGAGGGCAUCUUGAACUGUCAUGUUCGAACAUUUGCUUAUUGUUCUAUGUUUCAUGCUGAGGCUUACAUUUUCAAUUUGUUUUCCCUCUUUUCUUUUGCUAAGUUUUAUUGGUCAAUUGAUUCAGAAUCUCUUAUGUAUAAGCAGCUUCUCUGUGCUCAGCUAUUAUCAAUUGUUCUGAUCUAUUGAUUAAUUUUGGAGCGCUUUGAUGUCAUCUGUAGAAUCUGACACUGUUAAGUACUCAAUAUUGAGGAUAUAUUUAAUAUUAUUCAUGCAUUUUUCAGGAUCAAAGUUGGUUGCUUGUAAAGCUUGCCACAGGGACAGGUUGAUGGUAGUGUUUUUCGUCUAUUAUACACUUCAUACAUUCUUGCAGCAUUUUCAUCAUAUUUUGACAAAAAUUAGACAGCAUAAGGUGAUAAGUGGAGUGUCUUCCAUUUCUCUUGUCGCUUCUCUUUCAGACUAGCUGUGGACCUUUGAUGUAUGAAUUACUCCAUGAAAAUUGAUUGCACUGUGCAAAAUAUAGGUGGUCAAAUCCCUUGUUAUGAAGAUUGUGAUUAAAAAAAAAAAAAUUCAAGACAUGCUCAGUAGAUUUAUGCUCACUUUCAUAACUUGCUGAUUCUGGUUUUUUUGUGUCCAUGCCACAAGCACCUAUGAACUAAGGCAAUUGUUAACUCAAGCAUGUUGGUUUUUUGGAAUAAAUCUGUUCCAUUUUUGUGGAUGACUUACUCAAAUAAUAUAACAUAAACUUAAAAAAUUGCACAGAUUUACAUCUAGAAGAAUUCAACAAGAGCUUUCGAAGCAAAGUAUGCAUGUUUGGAAUACUUUACAGGAGAACUCAGAAAAUGAGAAUUUAUAAAUGGAAAUAGCAUGAAAAAAUGCAUCUGAUAUUCAAGAAGCAUUUCAUUUUAUAUAUUACUUGGAUUAUUUAAACAUGUAGUAUUUCAAAACUAGAACAUCACAAACAAUAAAAACCAUUUCAAAAUUUGUUUGCAUACUUUAAUACGGGCACAAUUCAAUCCGCAUACAUUGGUUCAGGAAGUUGCACUGACUAUAUUUUUCUUUGCCAUUACUGUUCUUUUGUUAUACUGUAUGUUUAACUUAUUUUAUUUCAAGGAAUUAGGUAUGCAGGAAUUCUAUGAGCAAAAUAUCUGAAGGAGAUGUUCUAUUGUAGGAACAAUAAUAAUUAAGGUGUUGUUAUAAUAGAGUACAGUAUUUGGAGGUAGCAACUCAACACACCCAAUUCCCAGAUAUGUUAAUUUCGAAGUUAUGAAAUUAGUCUUCAGUUUGAAAAAAUUGAAAUGGAAAUAUGCAUGUAGUAGUAUAUAGUUAAUUUUGUUUAAGAGGAAAGGUUGCUUGGAAUUAACUGGAUGGAUUAUAUUAUUAGUGAGUCAUUUUGGUGUUGGUUAGAAGCCUUGGAAGGUUUGUGCCUUUGUGCCUUAGUUUUCUCAUACAUUUUUGUGCUUUUGUAACUCCUUUAUUCUUUUGUUAACCCUUACUUUUUUCAGUGUUUUUCUGCUUUGAAGAAAUCUGUUAGAAAGAAAUUCUGCAUUUUACUACAUAAUCUGAAAUUUUGUUAGACAACUUAUGGUCGCUGCCCAUCAUGCACUCUUUUGAUGUGCUUGAUAGUUAAGUCUUUUUUCCAUGUUAUGUAUGGUGAGUUGGAGAAUUUUCUGUUGUAUUUCCAGGUCUGGUGAAUGUGCAUACAUGACUAGCAUUCUCACUCCUUCCUCUUGCACCCCUUUUAUACAUGCAAGAUGAAUACAGCAGCUUAUAAACAUCUUAAUGAAAUAUUUGAGCCUUUAGAUUCAUGUAGCAACUUGAAUAAAACCGAAUUAGCAUGAUGCUGCUGACCAGUUAGAUUAAACAUCUGAAUGCACUACAUUUGAAAAUCUCUACUAUGCAAGUUAAACAUUGAACAACAUGAUACGGGGUGAAACAGAACAUAGCACUGAAAUGCUCUACUGAUCAAGAGGUGAAGCAAAAAAGUAAAAGCAACCAUUCAUCAGCUUCAAGAUUUUAACUUGGAUCUUGACAUUGGGAGUGAAUGAUAGAAUUUCAUUCAGCAAAAGAAAAUAUACAAAAUAAUACUUUUGAAUUAUUGAUGGAUUUUGUAUAGUUUUGCAUUUAAUUGAGUUAAUCCAACUUGUAUUUGCUUAUACUGAAGAGUAGAAACUUUUGAUAAACAGUUGGUUGAAUACCUACCACAUUAAUUCUUGUUCUACAAAUAUCCGAACAUGCCAAUUUGCUAUGUAUGCCACUGCAUAACCAUGAUAUGCUUAUACAGGUUUAUAUGCAACAAUUGAAAAUACACAAGCUCUGUAUAUUGUGCCCAAGGAACUUUAUGACAUGGUAUGGAUGAUAUAGUGGUUAUAAUUGUUGCCACUGAACUUUACUGGACCUAUUCUGGUUUUCUCAGGUGUAGUAUCUAUGAUGCUGAACUUGUUCAGGUGGAUGGAUCAGCAUGCUGUGAAAGAUAUAGUUUUUAAUCUGGUAGAUGAAGUUCAAUAUUUUAUGGUUACAUAAAGAUAAUGUUUCAUCGUUUGAAUCUUUUCAUGAAAGUACAUGUCUGCAGAGUUUCUUGCUAAUCUUGAGGCAUGGCAUCUUACUCCAUCGAGAUGCCAUGCCUACGAAAAAGUCGAAGCAAGAGACUUAGAGAGCUUUAAAUAUAAGCAAAAUUUUCAGCAUACCAGGAUCGAGCAAAAUAUUUUUAUUGAGUACAAUUGUGACCAUCCUGUCAUUUCAUGCAAAAAUCAGAUGGCUGUUGUUAUGGUUAUGAUUUUUUUUUUUUGGGUGUAAAAAUCUUCAAGCUUGGUACCCUUUUUCAGCGGGAGUUUUUCUCAUCUAAUUGCUGUCUUCAACAGUUUGAAAUGAAGCUUUUAGGAUAACAAACCUGCUGUUCCAGCCUCUUGAAGCUUGACAGGCUAGCUCUCCCUCCCUCCCUCUGUGUUUGUGUUUGGGGGGGGGAUGUGUUUCUGUGCAGUCUGUUUGCGUGGCACAUGCAUGUUUUGGAUAUCAGAGAAACUUUUAGAAGGGGUCCUCUGGGGGUGGUCUUCUGCCUCUGGCUGAGCAUGCUUUACCUUUUGAUGAAUUAGCUGGAGAGUUUGGAUCUUUGAUUUGUUGGUCUCCUGGAAGACAGCCUCGUCCGAAAGUGCAGUUUUAACACUUUCAGCCGCUGCUAUCAGGGUAUGGAUACUGAAGUUGUGAGCUCAUGCAAUAUGGAACGGAAGGUUUGGAACUAUGAGGAUUGGCUAAUUAGAUUGCCAACUAUCCUUCAUUAUUGGCACGAUUACUUCAUGGUUGAGUGGGUUGAUGCAAGAUGCACAGAUUGUUGUUUUUCUUUAAGCAAUUCAGAUUGAUCCACGAGCAUUUGUUUUACAGAAUAACUAAAGAAACACUCCUCUGAAGCUUGGACUUGGAUACUGAGGGUUGUGCAGCAGCUGAAACAUGGGUUUUGCAAAAUCAAGGAAAAUGGACUUGGAGUCCAGGCCUCCACGCUACAUCGGCACCUCUGCUGGCCCUCAGCCGAUGCAGUGCGCAGGGCCUGUUGUACACACUAGUCAUGCGCGGGGCACAUGGCGGGUACACCGUGCACAGGCAUAAGAGAAUCCAAGCUUUUUAUUUUUUCGGAUUCUGUUGUGCAAAAUUGGGGUUAGCAGUAUCAGUCGAGUCUUUUUGUUGUGUGGUGUGUAUCUUAAGCCAGAAGCUUGCCUUAAUCCUUUUCCUGUGAAAAUGCUUGUUAUAUUUUUGUUAGAAUUCAUUGAUUGAUUGAUUGUGCUAAAUUUAGUUGGUCUUACCAAACUUCACUUUGAUUGAUUUAUGAUUGAUCGUGUGAAAGUUAGUCGGCCUUAUAAAA